GGGGGUAUAGCUCAGUGGUGGAGUGUAUGUUUAGCACGUACGAGGUCCUGGGUUCAAUCCUCAGUACCUCCA
rnacentral:tRNA from 1 species